rnacentral:rRNA from 1 species
UACGGAGGGUGCGAGCGUUGUCCGGAAUCACUGGGCGUAAAGGGCGCGUAGGCGGCCUGGUAAGUAGGAGGUGAAAUCCUGCGGCUUAACCGCAGGGCUGCCUUCUAAACUGUCAGGCUGGAGCACAGUAGAGGCAGGUGGAAUUCCCGGUGUAGCGGUGGAAUGCGUAGAGAUCGGGAAGAACAUCGGUGGCGAAGGCGGCCUGCUGGGCUGUUGCUGACGCUGAGGCGCGACAGCGUGGGGAGCAAACAGG